rnacentral:rRNA from 1 species
GUGUCAGCCGCCGCGGUAAUACAGAGGGUGCAAGCGUUGCUCGGAAUCAUUGGGCGUAAAGGGUAGGUAGGUGGUCUCAUUUGUCUGGGGUGAAAGCCCAGGGCUUAACCCUGGAAGUGCCCCGGAAACGGUGAGACUGGAGUACUGGAGAGGGUCGUGGAAUUCCCGGUGUAGCGGUGAAAUGCGUAGAGAUCGGGAGGAACACCAGAGGCGAAGGCGGCGACCUGGACAGUUACUGACACUCAACUACGAAAGCGUGGGGAGCAAACAGGAUUAGAAACCCCUGUAGUCC